rnacentral:tRNA from 1 species
GGGCAAUUGGUUUAGUGGUAUAAUACCCCCUUAGCAUCGAUUCGACAGGCGAAUCCAGCGACUGGGGGUGGUCCAGGGUUCGAUUCCCUGAUUGUCCA